GGCCCGGCGUGAAAUGGGAGGGACCCACUCAAAAGAAAGGAGGUGUAGCCCAUUUUAGAGAUGGGGAAACUGAGGUCCGGGAGGAUUCACGUGUGACUUUCUCUGGUGGCUCUACCUGAAUAUCAGCUUCUACUCGGGUGUGACUUUCCUAAUCCAAAGGUGGUAAACUACCCAAGAACCACAGAGGAGAGGGAAUGCAUACUUCCAGACACAGUAGACAGGGAGCCCUAAGGACACAAAUAGCUGGUGAUGGAGA